rnacentral:rRNA from 1 species
UACAGAGGGUGCGAGCGUUAAUCGGAAUUACUGGGCGUAAAGGGCGCGUAGGCGGCUAUGUAAGUUAGAUGUGAAAUUCUUGGGCUUAACCUGAGCAUUGCAUUUAAUACUGUAUGGCUAGAGUAGAGUAGAGGUAAGUGGAAUUUCCGGUGUAGCGGUGAAAUGCGUAGAUAUCGGAAAGAACAUCAGUGGCGAAGGCGGCUUACUGGACUUAUACUGACGCUGAGGCGCGAAAGCAUGGGUAGCAAACAGG